AUCACCUGAGGAUCUUGUUAAAAUGCAGAUUCUGAUUCAGUAGGUCUAAGGUAAGGCCUGAGAUUCAGCAUUUCUUGCAAGCUUCCGGGUGAUGACUA
rnacentral:pre_miRNA from 1 species